rnacentral:lncRNA from 1 species
UAAAAAAAAAAUUGAAUUCCUUCAAUCCAAAGCAAAAAUUACUCAACAUAUUAAAACCUUAUAAGUCAUUUGAGGAUUAUUUUUUUCAAGUUUUGCCGGGUCUACUUACUUUAUUAUUAUAAAAAUAAAAUAAGUUUAUCUUUUAAUUUAUAUAAGGUUGCAGUUAUGUUGGAGCAUCUUCGAUGUGGCGUAGCCACAUCAACCGUUGGAUGUAUGUGAAAAUUUUGAAAUAAUUAUAACAACAUACACCUAACCGUUGUAUGCAUGCUCCAGCAUAACCGGACCCAUUAUAAUUACCGAUAUAUUAAAAUUUAAAAAAUAGAGUGCCCACUAAAAUGGGCAACAUUACUCAUAAAUGACAUAAAUCUAAGCACAAAAGUAAUCAAUUGGUUUACUUUAAAAAUAAAGAUUGAUAAUUGAUAGUUAUCAAUUUCGCCGGGGCAUUUCCCUAUCUAAAUUUAUUAUUUUAUUUAGAGAAAUUAUCAUUCAUAUAUCCUAUAUUUACUCUGUUAUAAAAAAUACUACAAUACUUUGAGGGUGUAUCAAUCAUCCACCUUUAGUUGACAAAAUAUAUCAGCCGACCACCAAACCGUUAGUUGCCGUUUGAAAGUUAACGGAGUUACAGUGAAUUGAUGAUUUUACCCUUAAAAAUUAUCACUUGUAUACCCUUAAAUUCUCUUUUUAUCACUUGUAUAUCCUUAAAUUAUCACUUGUAUCAUAUGAAAAGAUUAAAUUACCUUUCUGACGUCAUCAUACUUAAACGGUAACUAACGGUUUGGUGGUCAGCUGAUACAUUUUGUCAACUUAGGAUGGACGAUUGAUACACUCUCAAAAUAUUGUAGUAUUUUUUAUAAUGGAAUAUAUUAAGAAUAUACAAAUGAUAAUUUCUCUUUUAUUUACGUGGGAAAAAGAAAUUGAUUGAUUAGACGUGAUUUAACGUGAUGUACACUCGGAUUUGUAAACCACAAAGACCUAGUAAUGCGGUAAUUUGCGGACUCCGGUUAAAAAUAAUUCCGUUAUUAGCUGCGAUUGGGUAUUGACCGCUCGUGUUUCUCUGGCACGUUCGCUACACGCGGCGGCGACCAUACAAGCACACCAAUAACCUCUUUCAUUGCUUUUCGUCCAUCCUAAUUGUUCCCAUUUGGUUAUCAUCAAACACAUUACGGUUGAUUUGCAACAAUUACCAAACCAUCUCCAAAGUUACUAUUUGUCCCAAAUUUAUCACUCCUUUGGUCCAUUUAAAAAUUAUAUGCGGGCGGAAUUACUUUGUCACAUUGAAAAAUAUAACCUAUUGUUAAGUUGGGGCAUAAAAUUAAAAUUGAAGUUUAAAUAUAUACGGUAUUCAAAGUUUAAAAUUCAGAAUUUAAAUACGUGAGUACGAGUAUAUAAGUGAUUCUCUGUUGGCGGCAACUUAUAAUAAACUUUUUUCUCAUUCCUUUUUUUUUUUUUUCCAAUUAAUGAAGGUGAGAGCUCUUCUAACAAGUUAUGAUUACCUUGCAGGUAGGCAAUUGACUCUGCGAGAUUUUAUUUUAUUUUUUAUUUAAUUAAUGUGUUCAGUGUUUGUUUUCUCACAUCACAUUAUUACUUUACAAAUUUGUCCUGAUUAAUUAUUUUCUUUCCUAAAAGGCACAUACUAAAAAACCUCAACUCUUGUAUUGAUUUUACAUAGUUGUCCCAAUUUUUUUUUUCUUUCAAUAACAUCAACUAAUAUAAUUGAUUUUUUUUUAAAUUUCAUUGUUAUAUUACCUCCUAUGAGUCAACUGACGAUCUUUUUAUCGACUUAAAUAAUGACUCAGGCAUCAAAGGUUUCAAGCAUACCUUUUGCCCGCUAGAGUGGGGGUGCUACGGAUGUAAGAGUAAAAGUCUAUAAAUCUGCUAAUUUUGGUGAAAGAAUCCUUAUGGUAUAUUGUAUAGCACCAUAGUAGGACUAAGUUGAGAUAAAUGGUAAAUAAAUAGACUAAUUUAUUGUUUUACAAAUCUAUAAGGACCCUUGUGAGAAUAACUCGCGUUCCCAUCAUUUUUAAUACAACCCACAAACUCUUCCCCCUUUCACACUACACUCAACUCAAACUCUCCUCUCUCUCUCUCUCUCUCUCUCUCUCUCUCUCUCUCUCAUGCAACUCCAAAACUAAAAACACUCACUAGACCACCACAAUGGGCAAAGCCACGAAGUGGUUUCGCAGCAUUCUCGGGCUAAAAAAGCCCGACCCGACACACUCCCCAUCUCAGCCAAAUACCAAGGAGAAACGCCGGUGGAGCUUCGUCAAGUCUUACAGAGAAAAAGACUCCUCCCGAGAAGCUACUGUUAAGCACAGCUCGUUGAAGUUGAACGAACGAGAGACUAGAGCUGAUGAUACUCCGUCCUCGGAAUGCGAGGACGCCAACAAGCACGCGAUCGCCGUGGCCGCGGCCACCGCUGCGGUUGCCGAGGCCGCGGUCGCUGCAGCCCACGCUGCAGCGGCCGUUGUCAGGCUUACGAGCAACAGCGGUAGGUGCGGUGACUUCCCCUCUGCUUACGUCGGUGGUUGCGGUGGGACCCUCGAUGAGCCGGCAGCGAUUAAGAUACAGUCGGCUUUUCGUGGUUACUUGGUACGUAUUUUAUUUUAUUAUUAUUACUUUAUUUUUGUUAAAAGAAAAAAGCUAUGGUCGCCAUGGAUUUUGAUGUUAAAAGAAAACAGCUACGGGUUCAGAGUUGGAUUUUGCAUCAGACAUGGCUGCUUAGUUGACACGUGUCAUCUUACAGCUUUUUAUUCUUCUUCUUCUUCAACCGCGAAGAGAAGACGACGAUAUAAUUAAAAGUUUUAACGUCGUUUUCCGAAGUCCUGGCUCUCUUUAUACGAAUCAGGCAAAACACGUCCUUCUCAAAUUCAUUUCUCUGCAUGGUAAAAUUAUUCCCUUCGUUUCCUUUCUUCUAAAUACCUUUUGGCAAGUGGCAACCAGAGCAGACUGCCCAUGCUUAAUCCAGCAUUUACUCUCUCCUCUUAUAGGAUUCAAUUUUCUACUGACUUGUCGCUGCCAUGCAUCUGGGUGCGCAAUGCGCACUACCCCGAAAACUGUGUGCUUCCCUUUUAUUUCCGUCGUUGUGGCGGUUUCAUAAUUCAUACGGCUUGAUGAUGGUGAUGAUGUCUUGUAUUGAAUCACCUGCUUCAUAGUAACGGGUUCUUAAAGAGGGGCUACAGUUUGCAUACAUAAUAAAUGUAGAAUUAAGUAUUGACCGCCAGCUGGUUCCCUGUUAAGUUCUGUUACAUGAUACACUUGAAAAUAUUUAAUUGGACUAGUUCAUUUGGUUUGAACCAACUGGAUAGUGAAGCAUAUUAUUAACCUAUGGAUCAUGGAGUAUAAUUUAGUCAAACAAUGAAGAGAGAAGUAUAACACCGCCUUUAUGUAUUAAAACAAUUUGAUUGUUCAUCUUGGGAGUCUGUGCAUGAAGUUUUUGAGGAAUUUGAAGACCGGAGUCCAACGCUCCAACUUUGACAUCUUUUGGGCUUUUGGAGCAGUUGGUGGGUCCAAACCAGUGGAAAGUUUGUUGUGUGUAUGUGUUUCCUUAAGUGCAUUUGCAUGACUUUUUAGCUACAAAGUUUGGGUUGGUUGAGGCACUUCAAUGUUGGAUUAAUUUAACAAAAUAGUCAGACUCUCGUAUGAACAUAACCCUUUUCUUCUAAUUGGGCGGCCAGUUAGAUGUCGUUGUCAAUUUGAUGUUAAUUGUCAGAUUUUCUUUUCUGAGAGGGCUAGAUUGAAGAAAAAGAUAUGUACUACUCAUAGAGCCCGUUUCCUUUAAAUUUUUCGUUCAUGUUAGUUUAGGCGCCUUGUUCUAAAAGGUAUCCUGCAAUCUAUGGUUUUUUUAAUGAUGAAACAGUGUGGUCCUCUUCUGUAUGCCUUGACUCUUGAAUGAUAGGUCGCUAUAAUGUUCUUGUGAUCUUAAUCAGAUGGUGGUCCAUUGCAGCUUUGCCUUUAUUGAAUUUGUUAAUGUGAUAAGCAAUUCAUUAUUAUUCCAUUUGCUUAGUUGCAUUGUGAUUAUGAGUUUGGUUAGUAACCCUAUCUCCCAUGGACAUUUUGAAGGCAAGGAGGGCUUUGCGAGCAUUGAGAGGUUUGGUUAGGCUUCAGGCACUUGUAAGAGGUCAUAUUGAGCGGAAAAGAACAGCAGAGUGGCUUCAGCGAAUGCAAGCAUUGCUGAGAGCCCAGGCACGUGCUCGUGCAGGACGGGCUCAAAUAUCUGAAUCUUCCCAUUCAAGUGGCAAAUCUUCACAUUUCCAGCAGCCGGUAAGCAAAAUUCAUUUUCCCCCCAAUAUUUGAAUUUUUCUGUAAUUUCUUUGUGGGCAAGUGAUGCACACUUUAUGACUGUGGGGCACCAGGCAACUUUUCUUUUUGUUCUCUAGACAACUUUUCAGUGCAUCUUUUAAGUUUAUGAAUUUUAGUGAAGCUAAUGACACUUGGAACUUACAAAAAGUAGCUGCAAUAUAUCAAGCAAGCUUUUUUAUGCAAUUAAUUGUAACUUCAAAAGUAGUUGUAUGCAUUAAGGCCAACUGGUUGCAUACUAUACCUUAAUGUUUUUUGGUUAAAGCGGCAAAGAUUUGUUAAGAUCCUUAAGAGUUGUUAAGAUCCUAAAGAAACUUUCGUACACUACCAAUCACUAGGAAAAUCUAGAAACCCUGUCAUGAUGCAGAUCUAAUUUUUCCAGUAAUUUUUCUGCACUGUGGGCAAAUUUAUGGCUUUAUUUGCUUAGGAGCAUUCCCAGUUACAGUUUUAUAGUUUCAUUCAUUUUGCAUUAAUUAUGUAAAUUUAUUGAGUUUCACAUCAUGUGCAGGGACCACCAACCCCUGAAAAAUUUGAACAUUCCAUCCGAUCAAAGAAUUCAAAAUGUGAAGUAUCAUCAGCGCUUAAGGUGCAUUCUCUUUCUUUGCCCUUCACUCUUUUCUUUAAUCCAAUUUGAAUGUCAUUUCAGAACUAAUAAGCACAUUAAUGAAUGCAGAAAAAUGGAUCAAAAUCAAAUGGCAGGGUCAAUGUUCAUCAUGAAAAAGCCCAUGUAAGUUGGAAUUGGCCAGAAAGUCAGAUGGAUAAUCGAUCCAAGAACCAAAAGGCAGCACCAACAAAGAUUGGUGCUAUAGAUGAUGAGAGGAGUGACAAAAUCCUUGAAAUUGAUACUGGGAAAAUGCACUUUACACCCAAACGCAGAAACCUAUUUCACUCUUCCCAUCUUACAGUGUCAUCAGAUCAUUAUAGUCAUAGCUUCACUUCUUCGAAAGACUCAACCGCCCACCAAAUUGAACCAAGUCCAUCUUCAUGUGAAGUUCAAUCUUUAAGCCCCUUGAAAUUCUCUCAUGAGGUUGAGGAUUUCUGCACUGCAGAAAAUAGCCCACAAUUCUAUUCUGCUUCAUCAAGAGGUGGUAGUUCAAAGAGAAGCCCCUUCACUCCCACGAAGAGUUACAGUUCACAAAGCUGUCUAAGCGGUUACUCAGACCAUCCAAACUACAUGGCCUACACAGAAUCAUCAAGAGCCAAGGUGAGGUCUCUCAGUGCUCCGAAACAAAGGCCACAGUACGAAAGAUCCAGUUCAGCAAAACGGUAUUCCAUUCACACAUUUGCCGAAUCAAAAUCAAGUGCCCAGAGGUUUACUGCUUUGCAUGCGAACUUUACAAACAAAGCAUAUCCAGGAUCCGGUCGUCUUGACAGCUUCGGAAUGCCUGUUGGGCAGAGAUUCUAAAUACAUCCUCCUCCUUGUAGCGUUUAAGCUGUAUUAACUUUUGUAGUUAGCUUGCUUGUGUUGUCCGCUGUCCAAGAGACAUCGAGUUUCCUCCGUUCAGGAUUUUAAUUAUGGAUCUGAAUCUCACACUUCACUGUGACCGUCUAAUAUCUAAUGAAUGUAACUUUUGCCGCCUUUGGACCCUACCAUUCAUUAUAUUACUGCAUGUUCUUGCAAAUUAUGUAUGCUAGUGCUUUGAUUCAAAACAGUCUUAAAAUUUUUAUUAAGAGUCUGGAAGGUUCAUAUUGUCCGGGAAAGCGUACAAAGUACAAUUUGGUAACGAUGAUGUCGGUUGUGGGGAUAGAUGAAUAACUGAAAUUGAAGCGAAUGCCAUUGCCAGCCUGGUUGAGCCGCGGUCGGUCACGUGUGGCUGUAUUUUCUAAAGAUUCAAGCAUUUACAUUUUGAAUGAAAUGGAGAGAGAUUAGUUCAUCAUUUCAUUAUCAAGCGAUGGAGCCCGUGUCCUGCCACUAGCUUUGAAUUUUGGUUGCUGUCAGGUGAUGUGAUGGCCCUCAGAUUUCAAUCUCAACCAACGUAUCCGGUCAACUGGAAAAUGUGCUGUUGUCUAGCCGGCCAGGCUGGGCAACUCCCCGCUAUAAAUGGUAAUAACAACAAUUUAUUGGAAAACGUUUUCCACAGUUAGUUACGUACCAAAAGCAGAUUUUACUAAUUGAACUUGAGGAAAUUGUAUCCAAUGAAAAGAAUUUGGAUAGGCUACCUAGAGUCCACAUGCAAAGGUCAACGUUGGAUGGUAGGAUAUUAAAAAUAGAUUAGAAUUUUCCUAUGAUUUGAGUUUUUAAAGUUAUUUUAUCAUGCCUUACAUAGAAAUAGGUGUAUAAAUAAUACAUAAAAUGCCAGUGUUUUGAUUAGAUUCUUAAAAUAGGAAAAUAAAAUGCCAGUAAGGUGUCGUGGUGUAGUUGGUUAUCACGUUAGUCUAACACACUGAAGGUCUCCGGUUCGAGUCCGGGCGACGCCAGAAGUUUCAAUUUUCCGUUUUUCACAUUACGUCAUUAUUUGACGAACUUGAAAUUGACCGAACAAUUUUAAUUUUUAAAAUUUUAAUUAAAAAAAGAUUUAUUAAAAUAGAAGAAAAAUCGAUAAGGGUCCGGCUACGGUGCAACGUUAUCACCGUUGCAUCCAGCCGUUAGAUCCACUUGGAUGAAUGAAUCCAAUGGGAUCCAAUGGCUGAGUGCAACGGUGGUACCGUAUUACCGUUGCACCAUAAUUUUCUCCGAUAAUUUGACGGGUUCUUUAAAACAAGUAACAGAUGCAGUAUGGAUUCUUGAUACUUGGAAAAGAAUAUAAUGCUGAACCUAAAAAUAAAUGUGCAAUACAUCAUCUUUGUAGAAUUUCUAAAUGGUAUACGUAACAUACAAUGGGAUGAUAUUCCCAUAUGAUAUAAAUUUAUAAACCCGAUAUAAUCAAAUUUUCCAUGAUCCAAGUCUACGCAUUUACACAAGUGAGAAAAGUAAAAAGUAAUAAACAAAUGAUUAUAAUUCAAACAAAAAAAAAAAAGGCAAUAUGGCAAGGUUAAUACAAAGCACUACUUAGUAAAAUCAGUUCCCGCAUUUCCAUUUCGAGGUAGGUACACAGCUUAGGUAAUGGCACCAGCUGCAGUGAUCAUUUCCAUUCUCUCCUCUGAAGAGCAUCACCAAUCCCACCGUAAAUCUGCAAUGUUCAAUAUGAAAAUUGUGCCGUCAGAUUUUGUCAAAUGCUGAAUGUUUGUGUUCAUUUACACCUUAAAACUAACAUCAAAACUCGUUUAUAUGAAACCAAUGUAAUGUAUGGAAGAUGCUACAAAUGUCACCGGAAAAGAGACGGAGGAAAUUCUUUCAGUCCUCUGUGAUGCUCUCCGAUCAUAAAUUAGGAUCUGAGAUAUUGGACUUACCCAACGAUAAGCAAAACGAGGGCCACGAUACAGAGCACAUAUUGGUAAGGAUUAUGCCUAGAUUUCACACGGGCUUGAGCAGGAAGUUGGUGGCGCUCUGCCCACCCAAAUUGAGGACGAAGUAGCAAAACAAACCCUAGGAGGAAACCAGCCAUGAAACCUCCGAUGUGUGCAAAAUUGUCAACAUGAGGAAGAAUUCCAACAGCCAAGUUAAUGGCAAUAAUGACCACAAGAGUCAAUAGAGCUGCAGCCUGCAAGAUAAGGAAAGCAACAAAAUUGUCAUAAGAAACCUACCACUUUUAUUUUCAUUUCUAAUCCAGAGUCCACAGCUCUUUUAUUUUCAUUUUUCCAGUUUGGCACAUUAGCUUCAAAAUUCAAAUUCCUUUACCCUGAAUAUUUUGCAAGUAACUAAAAUUCGUGGUCUCAGGUUUCUAGGACAAGUAGCUCUAGACUCAAGAAAUAACAAUUGAGUGCCAGUAUUUGAAGUAAAAGCCAAAAAGAAAUAACAAUUGAGCGCCAGUAUUUGAAUUAAAAGCCAAAAAAAAAAAUAUUGCUGUUUCUUCAUUACAGGAAAAAAAAAAAUUAAUAUGUGCAUUUUCCACAAAUAAAAGAAGGGUAGCAGCAACCUUGUUAGUAUAAAUUGACCAGUUAGCUAGAAGCUCAGAUAACAUAGCUCCCAGAAGUCCAAAUAAAGCACCAGAAGCACCAACAGAGAUACUGCGUUGAAUAAAAAGAGCAGAUAAUAUGCUCCCGCCAAAUCCUGACAACAAGUAGACAAAGCCAACGCGCACUGCCCAUGUUACAAAAGAUGUUAGAAUUCAGCAACAAUACAUAGCAACUACAUAAAACAAUAUAAGCAUUGACAAGAAAAUUCUAGAAUCAGGAGAAACUGACAUAAUUUUCGGCCAUGGUAUUAAAUACUUCCACUUUGUUAAUGUCUAGUGCUGAGUGCAAAAGAAAUAUUCAUUUAUGAGAUAGUAGUUCCAGUGAAUGUCACAGAUUUACUGUUUAAUAUCAUGAGUCAGGAAAUGCAAUUCUAAUGCAACAACCAAGUGCAUACAGAUCAAUGCCACUAACUUUUCCUGAUGACAUGUUACUGCCCCUUUCAGAAGAGUAGAGACCUAAGCACCAAAGUCAAGCAAUAUGUCUUUAACAAAUAAGGGGAAAGAUAAUUCAACAAGAAAUACCAAACUAUUUUGUAAGUAAGGCUAAAGUUCAUAUUUAACGACAUGAAAGUUUGUGACAUACCAAAUCCAAAUUGCUGUUCAAGGCGAAUCCCAAUAAAGACCAAGCUUAACAUAUUUGCAAGUAAAUGAAUGACACCAGCAUGUAACCAGAUACAGGUGAUGAGUCUCCAUCCUUGGUGUUCAUGCACAACCCUGUCCCACUCCAGAGCUCCCAACUUCUGCAAUCUGCACAAGCAAGUGGAAAUAAAUUAAAAUCAACCAGAAUCACAGUUCUAAAGGAGGGUUUUCCUCAAAACAAAUAAAGUUUUCACUUCCAAGCCCUCAAUUCCAAUUGACAGAAUAUAGAAUCAGAAUGACCAAAUUGAAAGAACUAGGUUCACAGUCUUCCGCCACGCACUUCCAGCAUAAAGAAGCAGCAUGAUUAUAACUUAUUUGUAAUGGCUAAAAAGCAAUCCUACAGUUUACUAAGUAAGUCUCAGACAACAGAAAAACGAAAAUAAUUGACCAACAAUUUGCCCCAAAAACAAUUAGUUGUUGAUUUUCAAAUACAUGAGGUAACGGAAAGAGUAAAAAAAAAUCCCCAAAUUCAAUAUUUGUUAAAGCUCCAGGUAUGUUCUCAAGAUUAUUGGCACAAACUUAUCACAGUCGAUGGAGGUAUUCAUAAAGCAAAUCAGUACAUAUUUCCCAACUUGCAUCGGAUGCAGACUUUUAGGCCAGCAACAGGUAGACCUACUUCCCCCCUCUAGUGGCUAUUACUUGCAAGCCUACAUUCCCCUAUAACCUACCUUAAUCCCAACUCAAUUUUCUUAAACAAAAAUAAGCAAUAGACUCACAAACUAAGAUGGAGAAGAAUCAACGAACACACUUAAGCUACCUUUAUACGCUCAUCUGGAUCUACUCAGAUAACAGAAUGCCCCGUCCACAACAUCAGUAAACAAGAAACAAAUUUCCUAAUCCUACCAAGUCUAGUCCCAAAUUUUGUAUUUUAACGACAAAUUAAGCCAUGAAACUCACUUCAACUAAUCAAAAUCCACAAAAAAUUAGACACAGUUAGAUUGGGGGAAUUAUAAAUAAACAUUCAAUAACAUACAACACAAAUUUCAUGGAACAAAACAACUAUCCCAAUCAAAUUGCAUUAGUCAGAUUUCUACUCUCACCUUCCGAAUUAAAAAACCCCACCACUGAGAGAAACCGAAAUCACUAAACGGCAGGUAAAAGGGAAAUACAUAAAAAGCAAUCCAUGCAACAACACAUAAAAAGUAGAAAGAAAAUGAGACUCACGUAGAAGAAGAAGGGCCGAAGAGAGGAUUCUCUUUUAGAGGCUCAAAGGAAAGCCUGCCAAGGAACCUAGCAACACAACCCCUGCCACCUUCCCAGUUAUUCUUGGGACAGUUGUUAAUAUACAUGGCCACGAUGAAAACAGCAACGUUGGCCACGACAAACAUUGGGAUCAGCCAAGAAGUCCAUUGCUGAUCACUCGCUGGCUCUACAUAAUACGAGCCUGAACUGUAACUGCUUCUAUUGUUGUUAUUGUUACUAAUAUUCUUUCCUCGUUCCAGAUCCCCGCUCGCCAUCAAUUGAAUUCUCUUCUAUUCGAGACAAUAUCAGUUUGUUAUACAAUGAGCGCUAGCUUUGUUGGGUAUUUGUCGUUCGUUUUAUUUAUAUGUCAAGGAAACAAAAAAGAAAAAAGAAAAGAAAAGAAAAGAUCGAACAAGAAGUGUCUUGUAAGGGAGAAUUUCUUCGUGUUUUUGAGUUUGCUGUUUAGGUUGUCACAGAGAGAGAGAGAGAGAGUGAGAGACAGGAACUCCAGGAAUCAGGAUAGAGAUCGAUUGAUCAUAUAACCGUUGAAAUGAAACAGUUGUUUGCAAGAGUUACUGCUGCUUCGUCAAUUCUAAUUAAUUUUAUAAUUAAAGGCUUUUGCUUUUCCCUGCUGCUGGAAAGGGCUUAUAAAGUUACCUAUGAUUUCUUAUGACUAUAACGAUGAGCGCAAUAAUAAACUAAAAAUAAAUAAAUAAAAUAAACAAUAAUUAUCCACCCACCACCAUCUAUUUUUACUCAAUUUCACCUUAAAUUAUAUUUUUUUUCCACGGAUCCACUUCCACUCCCAUCUAUCUACAUGCUGUUAUAACCAUGCUGACAUCAUCAAGGUAAAAUUGUCAUUUUUCCAGCACAAUAAGGGUUACAUUUUCUUCCACUUGGGUUCAUAAAAAUCUUAGAAAUUAAAGAAGACAUUGAAGGAUGUUAAGUCGAAACAUGUGAAUAAAUUAAAAGGAAUUAAUUUUAUCGAUGAAAAUUAAAACUACAUUAUUAAAUCUGAUUUUUUUGGCAUUUAUUUUGGAUAAAAUUGUAAUUUUACAUUUGAGGAUAAAAAAAUUAUUUAUUUAAUUUUCCACUAGUUAUCUUAACUGUGUGCAGACGAAAGUGAACCAAAGUAAAAAAAUGUAAUUUAAGGUAGAAUUGAGCAAAAUAUAUAUAUAUAUAUACACUUGUGUAUUUUUAAAAAAGAAUGAAAAAUAAAAGAUUGUCAAAUUACCAUCAUCAUGACAACCAUGGCGGUUGUUUUAUAUUUCACAAAUCUACCAAACUCUUGAAUAGCACGGCUUUAAUUAAUAUAUGAACACAAAAUCGUUAGAAAACUCUUGUUAAUAGAUUGAGUUCCAUUUCAGUAUAAAAAAUAAUAAUUAAAUAAAAUGGUGAUUUAUAUCCAACUAUUAGAUAAUUCUCAUACUUAUUAAAACAUGUAGAUUUGUUUAAAUAUUAAUUAAAAAAAAGUAAUAUAUAAAUUUAACCAGAAAAAAAAACAAAAUAUAUGUUUAAGAUUAAGAGGUUUUUGAUACCACUGUUUUAAAUAAUAGUUUUUAUUAGUAGCGCUCUUAACUAAUAUGACUUGAUGUGGACUUGUAAUUAAUCUUUGUGUCAACUACUAAUCUUGUUUCCUUGGUUUGCCAAGUGUUGAACAUUUAGAGGAAUGUUGUGAUCAUUAGUCUCAAUCAAACACAGCUUAGCUACUCGGCAACGAUGGAAAGGAAAAAUUGUGAAUGAACAGGACAAGGCCCCCAGUCCACACGGUUUCAAAGAAAGCAAAUAAAAAAUGGAGACAUAUGUAAGAGACAAAAUGAUUGCCACACUGAAGAAGAAGAAGAAGAAGAAGAAGAAGAAGAAGAAGAGCAAACUUUUGCUAUGGCUUCUCCCCGUUUAUUAAUUAUCAUGUCGUGUGCUUACUCUCUAAAACGUUGACUGUAACUUUUUAAUUUUCUCUUCAACUCAGUUUGGAUUUAGCUGAGUUAGUAAAUAGAUCACGGCUUGCGACUGACGACGACAAGGAUCCAAAACAAUUUUUUUUUUUUUUUUUUCAAGUAGUAUUAAAAGUAGACGUCACGUUUCUCUAAUUCGAUUUCAUUUUGUGCACGAUAAUCCACCGUCCAAUUACAGCAAUUCUAAUCAACUGCACUACAAAAAAAAGUACAGAAGUGUUUUUCAAAAAAAAAAAAAAAAACCAAAAAUUGCCUUAAAAUCAACUUAUACGGCAUGUCCUGAAAUAGCGAUCUCAAAUCUUUCUACAUUCUAUUUAUGGGUUUGAGGGGUAUAUUGGUCAUUUCAGAAGAGGAAACUAGUGAGUUUACGCGUAAUGGUGGUGGGAUGAUGAGAGUAGGUUGGUCAAUCAAUUUGUGUGCGACAGCGAUUUGCCGAUUUUUGUUGGCUCGCUUCAUAUGCUUUUGCUUUGCUUACUUACAAGUUACUCCCUGUGCGACUGCCAUCUGGCCUCUCAUCCUUUUCCCGCUCAUCUUCCCAACGAGAUAAAGGAAAGAUAACUCUCAUACUCAUUUUUCCAACUUUUAUAUGAUUUGCAUUUCUCUAAAUUUUGAAAGAAUUAUGUCGUCAUCAUCUAUGGAUCUACCGAGUGGGGUUUUUAACUAUUGAAAAUUCACCUGAGAUUAAGACCAGCAUGGUCUGAUAUUAUAUUUAUGGUUCACUUCGUUUCUAAUUAAUUUUCUAUGUAGUUUAUUCCUCUCUCAAAUCAAGUUGAUACAUCACCCACCAACCUAACUACAACCUAAGACUAUUACUGUGUUGUAUGUAGGUUACUAGAUUGUGGUCAUGAAUAGACAAGCUACCUUACCAUCUAAACUGUCAACGCCCACCUCCUCUGUCCAACGGCCUUAUGAAAAUGCCAAUACGCCACUUCUAUUCUAUAAAAUUUCCAAUAGACUAUUGCUCUACGUUAAGCCCAUAUGGGUUGAUAGGAACGUGAGGGGUGGAGAGAAAUGGAAAGGAUAGAGGAUAAUAAAGGAUGGGUGAAAAAGAAAAUCAAUCCCAAGUUCCCAACCCAUUGUUUAGUUUAACAUAAUGCUACGUUUACUUGGAAAUCAGACUCCCAUUCCCUGCAUUUUUUAUUCUACCCAUGUUAAUUUUGUAUUAUUCCAAAAAUACCCUCAUUUUAGAUAAAAAAAAUAUAAAAAGCGAAAAAUAAAAAAAAUCCCUAAAACCUAAACUCUCUCACCCGUGCCUCCCAAUCAAAUGCCAUCAGAGCUGCUUCCAUCACCAUCGCAGCCAUCACCGUCUUUGACGUCCUGGUUCGUCGGCUGUGGACACCUGCUCGUCGCCGGUUUCGUCUCCGUUGGGCCGUGUCGAUUUUGUCACCGUCUCGAUUUCGCCCCCAUCUCAUUUCGUCUCCGAUUUCGUCUUUAAUGGCGAUGGUUCUGAUAUGAUGCUGCUGCUACUGUUAACGACGAUGAUUGUUGUUGCCAUUGUUGUUGAUGACGAUGACAAUUGAGAUUUUGAUUGUUGCUAUUUUUUUUUUUGGGAAAUGGAUUAUUUUUGUUGAUGAUGAUUAUUUGGGAAAUGGAUUAAUUUGAUGAUGAUGAUUGUUAUUAUUAUUAUUAUUUUGGAAAUGGAUUAUUUUGUUGAUGAUGAUGAAUCCGAUUAUGAUUAUUAUUAUUUUUUGAAAUGGAUUAUUAUUUUGCUGAUGAUGAUAUUUUUUAUUUUGAUUAUUGUUAUUAAUUUUAUU